GUGAAUCAUCGAAUUUUUGAACGCAAAUUGCACUCUCCUCGAAGAGGAUGCCUGUCUCAGGGUCAGCCUAUAAAAAAUCGACAUCGUUGCUGUUGCUCGUUUUCGUUCUUCGGAAAUUGAGUCAUCUUAAAUCAUUUGGUGUUAAGCGACUUAAAAUUUUCUUUUUUGUUCCAUGGACUUUUCUAAUAUUUAUUUCUUUACACGUUUAAGGUAUCUAUUUUUAUUAGACGUUACUAUUAUAUCGGAUCUCUCCCUUUAUCUUUCAUUAACUGAACU
rnacentral:misc_RNA from 1 species